rnacentral:rRNA from 1 species
UACGAAAGGCCCAAACGUUAUUCGGAUUUACUGGGCUUAAAGAGUUCGUAGGCGGCGCAGUAAGUAGGGUGUGAAAGCCCUCGGCUCAACCGAGGAAUUGCGCCCUAAACUACUGUGCUUGAGGGACCUAGAGGUGAGCAGAACUGAUGGUGGAGCGGUGAAAUGCGUUGAUAUCAUCAGGAAUACCGGAGGCGAAGGCGGCUCACUGGGGGUCUUCUGACGCUGAGGAACGAAAGCCAGGGGAGCGAACGGG